GACGAACGCUGGCGGCGUGCUUAACACAUGCAAGUCGAGCGGUAAGGCCCUUUCGGGGGUACGACGAGCGGCGAACGGGUGAGUAACACGUGGGUGACCUGCCCUCAGCUCUGGGAUAAGCCCGGGAAACUGGGUCUAAUACCGGAUAUGACUCCAUGACGCAUGUUGUGGGGUGGAAAGCCUUGUGCGGCUGAGGAUGGGCCCGCGGCCUAUCAGCUUGUUGGUGGGGUGAUGGCCUACCAAGGCGACGACGGGUAGCCGGCCUGAGAGGGCGACCGGCCACACUGGGACUGAGAUACGGCCCAGACUCCUACGGGAGGCAGCAGUGGGGAAUCUUGCGCAAUGGGCGAAAGCCUGACGCAGCGACGCCGCGUGAGGGAUGACGGCCUGGUGU
rnacentral:rRNA from 1 species